UACGUAGGUGGCAAGCGUUGUCCGGAUUUACUGGGAGUAAAGAGCGCGCAGGCGGUCGUUCAAGUCGCGUGUGAAAGCCCCCGGCUCAACUGGGGAGGGUCACGCGAUACUGAUCGACUCGAAGGCAGGAGAGGGUAGUGGAAUUCCCGGUGUAGUGGUGAAAUGCGUAGAUAUCGGGAGGAACACCAGUGGCGAAGGCGACUACCUGGCCUGUUCUUGACGCUGAGGCGCGAAAGCUAGGGGAGCAAACGGG
rnacentral:rRNA from 1 species